AACCGCAACAGCCCUGCCAUAUUUACCCACCAAACAGAAAGCAGCAACAGUGAGUGAGUAGUUGUCCGUCAAGGUGAUGAGCGUCAGUCCCAGGAAUAUGAAGAACCCCACCAAGUGGCUGCAGCACAAGUAAUUAUAACACAACUUUCAAAUGCAUUUGGGUUCUAAGAGCGACGUUAGAAAGUUUGUUCACGGGAACACAACUAUGCAGUGAUGGAUAUAGGUAAUGAAGAAAGAGAGAAAUCACAUAUAAGAGGGCAGUGCAACAUUUCUGAAAUAGCAUCAGCACACUGCUUCCAGCAACAUCCGGAAAAGCACAUCUGCUGAGACUUGAUAAUAAUUUUAAAUCAGAUAGAUUGAACCUUAGGCAACAACAGAGAGACCUUUACAAAUGAUAGACACUCCUGUUGUGUAUAAUUAUGGAGACUUUCUUAUUAUUCCUGACUCACGACAGAAAAAGAAAUAAUUUCGUCUUUCCUU